AGGUUAAGCCCGAUGAACCUGAAUAUCCAUUAUGAAAAAUUCAUCAUUAUACCGGAUAAUAUUAUAUAUUUAUUAUUAAUAUUAUUUGUGAUAGUGUGCAUUUUUUUCAUAUAAGGACAUUGUGAUCUAUUAACAUAAUAAAUAAUAUUUAUCAAAAGAUCAUUAGCUUAAGUUUAUUUGAAUUAAUUUGCUUUAAAAACAUAUUAACAUAAAAUAAAUGCAAUUGAUUUGAUAAAGUGUUGAUAGAUUUAUUAUAUAUAAUGCUUAAAUUGAUUGAAAUUUUACAAUAAUAUUG
rnacentral:rRNA from 1 species